CUCUUGCUUAUGUGAAGCUUGGGUAAGGUUGUGAAUAAAUAAUUGGAGCUUGAAAUUGUGAAUACUGAAACUUGGAGGAAGCAGAUUAGUUGAAGUUUUGAGGGCUGUGUUCUUUUAGGAAAAUUGUCUUGGAAUAAUACUUGGAAAUCGGCUAAGAUGCAGGUCGAGAGGCAUCUCGUUAGGCGUCUGGUCCCUUGAAGCAGAGUGGUUACAGGGUUAUUUUGUUAUGCUAUGAUGUGUAUAUAUGUACUUGGUUUUCUCUCUGCAUAACUUGUUCUUUUGAUCCUCCUAGAGGUUUAUGGAGAGGCAGGAUUAUGUAUAUGUACU